rnacentral:rRNA from 1 species
CUCCAGACUCCUACGGGAGGCAGCAGUGGGGGAUAUUGCACAAUGGGGGGAACCCUGAUGCAGCGACGCCGCGUGGGUGAAGGAGCACCUCGGUGCGUAAAGCCCUAUCGGCAGGGAAGAAAAGCGAACAGGUUCGCCUGGACGGUACCUGACUAAGAAGCCCCGGCUAAUUACGUGCCAGCAGCCGCGGUAAUACGUAGGGGGCAAGCGUUAUCCGGAUUCACUGGGUGUAAAGGGAGCGUAGACGGUGAAGCAAGUCUGAAGUGAAAGGCGGGGGCUCAACCCCCGGACUGCUUUGGAAACUGUUUGACUGGAGUGCAGGAGAGGUAAGUGGAAUUCCUAGUGUAGCGGUGAAAUGCGUAGAUAUCAGGAGGAACACCGGUGGCGAAGGCGGCCUGCUGGACUGCGACUGACGUUGAGGCCCGAAAGCGUGGGGAGCAAACAGGAUUAGAUACCCCUGUAUAC